GCUCAUCGAACAAACAUCUGGCACUCGGCAGCAGCCUCAGUCUGAUUUGGGAGGUCAUCUCUUCUGAAACUACUGUUGUUUUCUUCACAAGAUGAUGGAGCACUGAUUAAAACAAGACAACAAUAGAAGACCUCAGCUUGUCAAAAACCAACCAGUCUUCAGUGUCAGUCUACUCGGACACAAAAUGAAAAAACAAAGCCCUCUCUUCUCUGUUUCUCCCUGCCUCACAUAAAGACUUGUGCAUGUAUUCCCUUAUGGAAGCUGACAAGACAAGGGGUGACUGUGAAGGACGCUUGGAAAAAGUCCAGUGCAAAUUAAUACAUAAGGUGUAAAUACAUAAGUCAGUCAUCAAAAUGAUUGACUUGAACAAAUGUUUAGUAAAGAAAGCAGUUUGUCACAGAGGAGACUCAUUUUUUUUACAAUGUAAUGUCAUCAUGAACUGUCAAGUAAUUUUUUAACAGUGUAUCAUGUUCAUGUGCAUCUUUUAAUUUCCUUUCAGAGACUGCUGAGGGAAAGAAAAGUCAGAAAAGUAGAAAUGUGACCUACCUGUGGUUAAAGCAAGUGUCCAUCUAGAGUGAAAAUGACUGUCAUGUGGGUUAAAAGUCCCUUAUGUUCAUCACGGUCUCCUGAUGGUGCACAACCCAGUUAAAAGUUUUAUUUUAACUGUCGGUCCAGAAGGUACUGUGUGUUCCUCCAAGGAAUGUGUGUGUGCAUGUGUAAUACUGAUUUAUUGUGAAUGAUUUGGCUCAUGAGCAGCACGCGCGGACAUGGAGCCUAACGGCAGUUUGUCCACAACUGACCUCUCUCGUGUCCUCUCUGUGAUGUGACCUUGCUGCUACACAGCUGCCUGAUUCAGCAUUUAACAUUUAACCAGCCUCCUCCUGUAUUAGCAUUCAGUUGUUUGUGAUGUUGAAAGUUUCUUUUUAAUGUGUUAAUGUUCAUCAUUGUGAAUCUCAGGCUCUGCCGGGGGGGUUGUGAGCUCAGGGACAGAGUGUGUCAACCACACUUGCCAAACUAAUAUGCAUGUCACUAAAAUAAAGGGUUCAAAUCUUGAA